ACUCAAAUGAAUAGACGGGGGCCCGCACAAGCGGUGGAGCAUGUGGUUCAAUUCGAUGCAACGCGAAGAACCUUACCUACUCUUGACAUCUUGAGAAUCUUAUAGAGAUAUGAGAGUGCCGAAAGGAAUUCAAAGACAGGUGCUGCAUGGCUGUCGUCAGCUCGUGUUGUGAGAUGUUGGGUUAAGUCCCGUAACGAGCGCAACCCUUAUCCUUAGUUGCCAACACGUCAUGGUGGGGACUCUAAGGAGACUGCUGGUGAAGAACCGGAGGAAGGCGGGGACGACGUCAAGUCAUCAUGGCCUUUAUGAGUAGGGCUACACACGUGCUACAAUGGGGCGUACAGAGGGAAGCCAACCCGCGAGGGGGAGCCAAUCUCAAAAAACGCCUCUCAGUCCGGAUUGGAGUCUGCAACUCGACUCCAUGAAGUUGGAAUCGCUAGUAAUCGCGAAUCAGAACGUCGCGGUGAAUACGUUCCCGGGCCUUGUACACACCGCCCGU
rnacentral:rRNA from 1 species